GUCACAGGAGGAGAAAGCUGUGUAUGCUGUUUUUUUUUUUUCCAUAAAGGGGUGGCUAUUUUAGUAUUUAUCAAUGUACUCCAUAUAGUCAUUUUUGCCACUGGUGACAUAUAAUUUUUUUUGUAUCAACUUGACUCAGUUAUAGCACACUGUGACUUAACCAAACAGUAAUCUCAGUGCUGCUGUGAAGGCACUUUGUAGAUGUGGUUUAACAUUUGCAUGUAGAGGAGAUUAUCACGUGGAUGGGUCUCUUUGAUUGGUUAUAGGCAAUAAGAGCAAAAAGUGAGGUUUUUCAACAAAAAGAAAUUCUGCCUCAAGACUACUGUAGCAUCCCCUCCUAAUUGUCUACCUAAAUUUCUGGUCACUUGAACUUCCAGAUAAGUUUUGGACUUAAGAUUAUAGCAUCAACUCCUAUUUCCAGUUUGCCUGCUUGCUCUACAAAAUUCAGACUUGGUAGGCCUGAGACUAUUUCUUUAAAUAAAUCUCUUUGUAUCUACAUCUAAAUCUA
rnacentral:lncRNA from 1 species